GACGAACGCUGGCGGCGUGCUUAACACAUGCAAGUCGAACGGAAAGGCCCUGCUUUUGUGGGGUGCUCGAGUGGCGAACGGGUGAGUAACACGUGAGUAACCUGCCCUUGACUUUGGGAUAACUUCAGGAAACUGGGGCUAAUACCGGAUAGGAGCUCCUGCUGCAUGGUGGGGGUUGGAAAGUUUCGGCGGUUGGGGAUGGACUCGCGGCUUAUCAGCUUGUUGGUGGGGUAGUGGCUUACCAAGGCUUUGACGGGUAGCCGGCCUGAGAGGGUGACCGGCCACAUUGGGACUGAGAUACGGCCCAGACUCCUACGGGAGGCAGCAGUGGGGAAUAUUGCACAAUGGGCGGAAGCCUGAUGCAGCAACGCCGCGUGCGGGAUGACGGCCUUCGGGUUGUAAACCGCCUUCGCCUGUGACGAAGCGUGAGUGACGGUAAUGGGUAAAGAAGCACCGGCUAUCUACGUG
rnacentral:rRNA from 1 species